rnacentral:lncRNA from 1 species
GACAGGGUUUCACUAAACUGUUCUUCAAAUCUGUGGGCCUUGCUGAAACUCCCACAGUUGAUUAUUGUGUAUUGCAUAUCUAUUCCUACCAUUGAGGGAUAUUAUAUAUCCCCCAAGAUAUUUGGUCCUUAGUAAAGUGCCUGAUGUGGUGGAGACUAUCUAAAUGGCGUGUUGACUAUGUUUCAAAAAUAUACUGUUGAUAAUGUGUUGCAGGUGGGUCUGUGGGUAAGGAAACAAGUUUGUGAAAUAACUUAAAUAUUAUAGACGUAAUAAAGAUUAAGGGUUAAACUUAGACACUGGUAUUAGUGUCCAGAUUGUAGAGAUUUGUUGGUCAUUAGGGCUUGAUGACAACUCAGGAUACUGGCAGGUUUACUUUGCACUUUAUACCAGGUAGUCUUUUUUUUUUUUUUUUUUGGUUGGGGGAGUUUUGGGGGUGGAACCCAGGGGUGCUUAAUCACUGAGCCACAUCCCCAGCCCUUUUUGUUUUUGAGACAGGUUCUUGCUAAGUUGCUUAGGGCCCUGCUAAGUUGCUGAGGCUGGCUUUGAACUUGUGAUCCUUCUUGUUCAGCCUACUGAGCCUUUGGGAUUACUGGCAUGUGCCACCAUGCCCAACCCAGGUAAUCAUUUCUAAAGUGAAAAGCAAAUCAUCUCAUUUGUUUACAACUCAUAUUGUCAGCUUGAGUUGAAGACCCUACAAGAAUUACUGCUAAACAAAUGCUGUACCACUGAACAACAUGCCUACCCCUUUUUAAGUUUGUCUUGAGAUAAGACCCAAGCUGGCCUCAAAUGUGUAAUCCUCUUGCCUCAUCCUCAUAAGCACCUAGGAUUAUGUUCCUUGCUCCUAUAGCCCAAAUUGGUUUAUUUAUUUACAGCACUGGGGUGAACCCAGGGCAGUACACUAUCACUGAGCUACAUCCCCAGUUUCUACAGCUUAAAUUUCUUAAUCUCAAAUCCAGUGGCUUCAUCUUUCUUCCCUUUUUCUAUAGUCCUGUGGUUCAUAUUCAGUCUGGUGGUUCUGAAUUUAUCAAAAUCAUGGAUUACCUUGGAUUAUGUGGGUGUGUAUAUCCAGUCCCAAGAUAAGUUUUCAUAGGUCUGUGUGUAUUUGGGAUUGCAAAUAAUUAAAUUUGAUGAUUUCUCAACUGUGAUCCCAGAUUUGCCAGAAAUACUAAUUCUGGACCCCAAAACAGACAUCAUUAAUCUAUCCAGCCCCUCAGGAUUCUGAGGUAUGCCUUAAGUUUGACAACCACUGUUUUAGAUCUUAUAUACAGAUUCUGGUUCAUUUGUUCCUACUGAGGUAUGUUAGCAAUGUAGUAGUAUACUAAGUAGUAUACAAAUGACUAUGUGACAAAGGAAAUUUCUUUUUGGGGGUAGGGAGGGUUACUGGGGAUUUAACCAAGGGGCAGUUUACCACUGAGCUACAUCCACAGCCCUUUUUAUUUUUAUAUAUGAGAUGGGGUCUCACUUGCUUAGAGCAUGGGUAUGAUGCCAAGGCUGGCCUUGAACUUGAGAUCCUCCUGUUUCAGCCUCCUUAGCCACUGAGAUUACAGGUGUGUGCCAUCUUAUCCACCUGGAAGGAAAUAUUUAAUCUCCAAUGUCUGAUAAUGGUAACAGCUAGCACAUUGAGGAUGUGAAAAGUUGAUGUGACUGAGAAGCUUUAAUUUUACUAAAUUUAAAUCCCCCAUAUGGGAUUGUAAAGAUUUAGAUGACUCCAUUCUUAGCUUCCUAGGAUGAUAAGGGGAAAUCUUUCAAAGGAUGAUUAAAAAUUAACUGUUUAACCUUGUUAAAUAUGAGAGCUUAAGAUGAUAUGUGCCUGUAGUCCCAGCUACUCAGGAGAAUUACAAGGGGCACGGUGGGGGGAUAGCGAAAAUAAAAGAAUAGGUGAUUUCCUGAAGAAAUAGUGGUGGGGGCUGGGGAUGUGGUUCAAGCAUUAACGUGCUCGCCUGGCAUGUGCGGGGCGCUGGGUUCACCCUCAGCACCACAUAAAAUAAAGAUGUUGUGUCCACCGAAAACUGAAAAAUAAAUAUUAAAAAAUUCUCUCCUCAAAAAAAAAAAAAAAAGAAAUAGUGGUGGUUAAACAUGAAAAUAUUCCAUCUGGGGCUGGGAUAUGGCUAAGACACUGGGUGUUCUUAGCAUUGCCAAAUGGUGUGUGUGUGUGUGUGUAAACUAUUCCACAUUAGUAAUUAGGGAAAUGCAAAUUAAGGUCAAUUUUAUUGCCACAUUUAAAAAGAAAGUUUCAGCAAGAAUGCUGGAGACUGGUAAAUUAGCAAGAUGAUUUUAGAAGAUGAUCAGAAUGUGGUUUAAAUGGAUAUAUUUAAGCCAACAUUGUAUUUCUAGGAAUCUGUAUUAAAGUAGUAUAAAAAGUGAUGUCACAUUCAAGCUUUUUUUUCAUUAAGUGUUGCAUGUACUCACCAUUUGUGACAACCCAAAUGAUCAUUCAUUAAUUUAAAAUGUUAUUACAUGUACUUUUAUUGCAUAAUGUGUCCCACAGUCAAUAAAAGACACUUCCAUACUAACAAAAUUCUCCAAAAUACAAACAUGAGAAAUCUCAUAGAAAGUAAGUGGGAUGAGCCACCUGUGGUGGUACAUGCCUUAAUCCCAUCAAUUUGGGAAGUUGAGGCAGGAGGAUUGCAAGUUUGAGGCCAGCCUCAAAAAUAUGAAAAGGGCUGGGAAAAUGCCCAGUGGUUAAGUGCCCCUGGGUUAGGGCAGGGGGUGUAUAUAAAACUUUUUUUUUGUUUGUUUUUUUGUGUGCUUCUGGGUGUUGAGCCAUCAUCUCCUACAUGCUGGGAAAGUGCUCUGCCACUGAACUGUAUGUAUCUCCAUACCCCAAACCAUGUAAAAUAAUUUUUUGUUUGGUGGUUAUUUAGGGGGAGAGGAAUGAGAUUUGGAGUUAGUGUGACUUAUCCUGUGCACCUAAAAUGUAUUUGUGUAUUCUUGUGUAGUAGUAAACACACCCCAAAAUUGUGGUUCAAGAAGGGAAUAAUUGGGCUUCUGAGGUACAACAUUUCUGGAUAAAGUUGGGGAAUGGCUGUGGGAGUAGGCUGCUUAAGUGAAAUGUGAGUGUGAAAAACUAAUUGGAAUAAAAGAUUAAGGGUCUCUAAAGCUAGAAUACUGAAUGGAUUACAGUAAUCCCCAACAUGAGGUAAUUUGUAAGCCUACCACUAUGUCACAUCAUUCACACCACUCCAUAUCAUCUUGCAUCAUAAGAAGGAUAAGUAGAGUACAGUAGGAUUUUUGUUGUUGUUGUUGUUUAAUGUUUGUUUUUGUUUUUGUUUUUUUUUUGAUUCUGAGUUUUGAACUCAGGGCCAUUGUGCUUGCAAGGCAAGCACUCUGCCAACUGAGCUAUAUCCCCAGCCCAAGUACAAUAGGAUAUUUUGAGACCACAUUCAUGUAACUUAUAAUAGUAUAUUAUGAUUGUCCUAGUUUAUUAGUUUGUAAUCUCAGUGCCUGAUUUAUAAAUUAAGCUUUAUCAUAGGUAAUGUAUGUAUAGGAAAAACAGUCUAUAUAAGAUCUGGUAGUAUCCAAGGCUUAGGUAUCUACUGGGGUCAGGGGCGGGUCUUUGAACAUAUUCUCUAUGGAUGUAGGGGGACUAUUACAUUUUUAUGGAAUUUUAAUUCACUGAGGUCAAUUAUCAGAAAAUGUCAAGUAUUACCAGAGUACUGAAAUAAUAUGGGGAUAUGACAACUGUGGAUUAUCAGUAGUACAGGGAAUUUGUGGAAAAUAUAGCCAUAAUGUAAAUUUUUUAAGGUUUCCAGUUAUUAUCUACAGGGCACAAUUAUUUUGUAAUUAACUUGCGUGUGUGUGAUGCUGGAGCUUGAACCAAGGGCUUUGAAAAUGCUAGGAAAGCGCUUUACCAUUGAGCCAUAUCCCUAGCCCCUGUAAUUAAUAUCUGAUAAGAACAAAUGCCUGUAUUCCCAGUGGCUCAGGAGGCAGAGGCAGGAGGAUCUUGAGUUCAAAGCCAGCCUCCACAAUUUAGCAAGGUGUUAAGCAACUCGGUGAUACCCUGUCUCUAAUAAAAGAAAAAUAGGGCUGGGGAUGUGGCUCAGUGAUGGAGUUCAAUCCCUGGUAAGCGCACCCCUCCCUUGGAAAAAAAAAAGAAAGAAAAGAAAACACCAGAUUUCAUGCCUAUUUUCCCAAGAAAAAUAAUUUGUAUUUUAUAUAAAAUAUCACUUGGAUAAUCUGGGUCUCAGUCAGGAAGUACAAAGUUGGACCAAAACAGGUAAACUGUAACGUAGAUGAUAUAAUUUGUUCAGAAAAUCUGUUACGGGCAAUAUCAAAUUUAUUCUUUAUUUUAGUCUAUAUAUUUAAUAGAUUAUCUGAUUUCAAAAAAGGGAGAGGGGCCAUUGAAAGUAAACUACAGCAAAAGAGUUAAUAGUUCUCAAGUUUGAGUAUAAUGGUCUCUAUGGAGAAAUAUCUCUUCCACCCACCUCAGAAACAUUGAAAGCAUAUGACCUUGCAGUGUGACACAAAAUUUGUUUAAUGAAUAACUUGACUGCCCAAGAAAAAGUUAAAUUACUUGAUAAUCUGCUAAGAGGACAAAGAAUGUGUGAUAAAUUUCCAAAAUUUAUGAGUUCAGUUACCUAGAAAUUUAUGUGAAAUCUCUUGGAAAACUGGAUUAGUUCAAAUGUCAGUGUAAAUGUAUUUGAUGGCUAUUAAAACUUAAUUUGGCCAAAACCAAAACUGGUUGUACAAUUUUUUUUUUAAAAAAGUGAGAUUGUGUCUUGCUGCUUGCUGUAAAGAGAGAAGUAAGAAACUUCUUGGCUCUGAUACAGAAGUAUCUUUUACAUGAGAAAUAGUUGAGGCCAUAGGUAGUAAAUAAGUGGAUCACACAUUACCAUUCUG